GAUGAACGCUAGCGGCAGGCCUAAUACAUGCAAGUCGAACGGGUUGUUGUAGCAAUACAACGAUCAGUGGCGCACGGGUGCGUAACGCGUAUGCAACCUACCUUAAACUGGGGGAUAGCCUUCCGAAAGGGAGAUUAAUACCGCAUAAGAUCACACGAGGGCAUCUGAGAGUGAUUAAAGAUUUAUUGGUUUAAGAUGGGCAUGCGUGCCAUUAGCUAGUUGGUAGGGUAAAGGCCUACCAAGGCUACGAUGGCUAGGGGUUCUGAGAGGAUGAUCCCCCACACUGGUACUGAGAUACGGACCAGACUCCUACGGGUGGCAG
rnacentral:rRNA from 1 species